GAUGAACGCUGGCGGCGUGCUUAACACAUGCAAGUCGAACGGAAAGGCUCCUGCUUGCAGGGGUACUCGAGUGGCGAACGGGUGAGUAACACGUGGGUGAUCUGCCCUGCACUUCGGGAUAAGCCUGGGAAACUGGGUCUAAUACCGGAUAGGACCACAUUUUGGAUGGUGUGGUGGAAAGUUUUUCGGUGUGGGGUGAGCUCGCGGCCUAUCAGCUUGUUGGUGGGGUAAUGGCCUACCAAGGCGUCGACGGGUAGCCGGCCUGAGAGGGUGUACGGCCACAUUGGGACUGAGAUACGGCCCAGACUCCUACGGGAGGCAGCAGUGGGGAAUAUUGCACAAUGGGCGCAAGCCUGAUGCAGCGACGCCGCGUGGGGGAUGACGGCCUUCGGGUUGUAAACUCCUUUCGCUAGGGACGAAGCGCAAGUGACGGUACCUGGAGAAGAAGCACCGGCUAACUACGUG
rnacentral:rRNA from 1 species